GACGAACGCUGGCGGCGUGCUUAACACAUGCAAGUCGAACGGUGAAGCUCCAGCUUGCUGGAGUGGAUCAGUGGCGAACGGGUGAGUAACACGUGAGCAACCUGCCCCUGACUCUGGAAUAAGCGCUGGAAACGGCGUCUAAUACUGGAUACGAGAAGGGCCCGCAUGGGCACUUUCUGGAAAGUUUUUCGGUUGGGGAUUGGCUCGCGGCCUAUCAGCUUGUUGGUGAGGUAAUGGCUCACCAAGGCGACGACGGGUAGCCGGCCUGAGAGGGCGACCGGCCACACUGGGACUGAGACACGGCCCAGACUCCUACGGGAGGCAGCAGUGGGGAAUAUUGCACAAUGGGCGAAAGCCUGAUGCAGCGACGCCGCGUGAGGGAUGACGGCCUUCGGGUUGUAAACCUCUUUCAGCAGGGAAGAAGCGAAAGUGACGGUACCUGCAGAAGAAGCACCGGCUAACUACGUG
rnacentral:rRNA from 1 species